UACGGGGGGGGCAAGCGUUGUUCGGAAUUACUGGGCGUAAAGGGUGCGUAGGCGGCUUGUUAAGUCGGGGGUGAAAUACUUCGGCUCAACCGGAGAAUUGCCUUCGAUACUGGCGAGCUGGAGGAAGGUAGGGGUCGCGGGAACUGCCAGUGGAGCGGUGAAAUGCGUUGAUAUUGGCAGGAACGCCGGUGGUGAAGACGCGCGGCUGGACCUUUUCUGACGCUGAUGCACGAAAGCCAGGGGAGCAAACGGG
rnacentral:rRNA from 1 species